rnacentral:lncRNA from 1 species
GGAUUGUAGGGAAAACAGUUUUAACAGUAUAUAAGCAAUUGUACGUAAGUUUAGAGAAAAUGAUUUAUAAUUUGAGAUAGAGGGAGUAGAAUUUUACAAUGUGUUACAAAAAACAUAGAAUGAACAACUAACGGAGAAUGAGAUUCGAUCUUUUAGAUUAGCAUUUUUUAAAGGACUAAACUUAUGUACAAUUGCUUAUAUGCUGUUAGAACUAUUUUCCAUUCAUGAUUU